UCUUUUCUGGCUGUGCGCCUCUUGGGGCUGCACACCAUUGAUAAACCACCAACACCUGUGAACCACAUUCGACCGUGGCAAUAUUCGAGGAUGUUCAAGAAUUUAUUCAAGAAUGUCUUAGAUUAUGCUACUGCCGGAUCACAUUCAACAACUUGUCCAGAAGGUAAAAAACCAUAAAGUAACAACUUUCAACAACGGAUCUCUUGGCUCUCGCAUCGAUGAAGAACGCAGCGAAUUGCGAUACGUAAUGUGAAUUGCAGAAUUCAGUGAAUCAUCAAAUCUUUGAACGCAUCUUGCGCUCCUUGGUAUUCCAUGGAGCAUGCCUGUUUGAGUGUCACGUAAACCCUCACAACUUGCGAUGUCAAAAUCGUGACGCGUGGAUUUGGACUUUGCCGUAGUUGGCUCGUCCUGAAAUAUAUUAGCUUGGGUUCCGUUAGAGUGCUCGGCAUUGGUGUGAUAAUUAUCUGCGCCGCCGCCUUAGACCUCUUCUGUUAAGCCCUGCUUACAAUCGUCCCUUGUGGGACAAAUUACAUUAUACUUUGACCUCAAAUCAGGUAGGACUACCCGCUGAACUUAAGCAUAUCAAUAAGCGGAG
rnacentral:rRNA from 1 species